rnacentral:sRNA from 1 species
CCUCCCAAUGCGCCACCUAUACCUGCUUGUGCAGUGCCGCCAGCGCACGCAAAGCCGCUGGCCAGGCUCAGGGACAACAAGAGAAUCGAGGUAAACUUCAUAGACAGAGUCUCAGUGGGAUGACGGCGCGAUCCUGAGGCUCUGUAAGAAAACUGACAACUUGAAACCGACGAAUAACACGACGUGUACACAAUUUUAUAAGUCUUUGUUUUCAAGAUGAAACUUUCUGAAUUUUGCUGUGUCAGAUGUACUUCGCUAAGGCCAUUUCAGCAAUGAAAUGGCCUUUUUUGUGGGCUUUCGUCAGUUAAAUUAGCUGAAGAAAUACACGGCGUCAGAGGCUCGAUUGGCUAUACACGCGCGGGCCGCUUU